CAGUCGCCGCGGGAAUACGGAGGGAGCUAGCGUUGUUCGGAAUUACUGGGCGUAAAGCGUGCGUAGGCGGCUUCUUAAGUCGGAUGUGAAAUCCCUGAGCUUAACUUAGGAAUUGCAUUCGAUACUGGGAAGCUAGAGUAUGGGAGAGGAUGGUAGAAUUCCAGGUGUAGCGGUGAAAUGCGUAGAGAUCUGGAGGAAUACCGAUGGCGAAGGCAGCCAUCUGGCCUAAUACUGACGCUGAGGUACGAAAGCAUGGGGAGCAAACAGGAUUAGAUACCCCAGUAGUCCCUGUCUCUUAUAC
rnacentral:rRNA from 1 species